rnacentral:lncRNA from 1 species
ACCAAAGUUGCGUCCCUGUUUUUUGCCGUAGCACCACACAGCUGAUUCAAGUAAUCUCCUAAUCAUCAAGCUUUGAUCAUUUAAAUCAGCUGUGUAGUGUUAGGGCAAAACAAGUAAUUGAGCACCCCUUGGGGUUCGAGGACCGAGUUUGGGAAAAGCUGGGCUAGAAGGAAUUUCCAGUCUAUUUCAUAAAUCAGUAAUUUCCUCUAAAAUCCAUGAAGGGAAGUAAACAAGUCAGCACCCCUACUUCCUGUGGCUAUGCAAUUCAGGAGAAAGGACAGAUUAUUGGGACACAGGCCUGGUCCGAACCAAAUGCUGAACACUCGACAGGAAGUGAGGUUAAAGGGUCAAAGCAUGAUGAGACUUCUUUCUACUUCAUAUAUACUAGUAACAGGACAGAUCCAGUGACAUUGUGAGGUUAGCAUGCACAUCAAUGAACGUUAACAAUCACUGUAAUUUAAAGAAUAAAGCACAUAUACAGUACCUGCAAGGGUUAAGCAAGUAAACAGUCAUUAACCUGUAUUUUAUCAUUCUGGCCUAAAGUAUCCCUGUGUCAUUGGGUAACGUAAACCUAUUAUAUAUUUCGGAGAAACCACUCACUCACCCCCAUUACGGUCUGUCUAGCAACAACCAUUAUCACAAGCCACCUGUAGAAGAUAAGACAUUAAAGUUAGGGCCCUUGUUUGCACCAGUUGGUUUCAGAAGUGAAGAAAAGCAGACCUGGAUUCAAUACCAUUUGAUACCAUUCAAUACCAUUUUAAAUCUUGUCUACUUGGAGUGCCAUAUGGGCAGGGUUUUAACCUUUUUGACUAUUCUAUAGGUUCCAUUGUACCAUGCAGGCUCAAUCAAGCCCAGAUAGAGUAUUACAAAUUAUUUGUAUUUGAAUCCAGGUUUGAAUAAAAGCACCCAAAAAGCUAGACCCUUUAUUCUGCAAUCCACACAUUAUGUCCUAUUCAUGAAAUUUCUUAACAGCUGCAAGCUAACUUUCUUAGUCAAAAUGUAAGACAAGAUCUAUCACUCAGAUGUUUUUUUUUAAACAUGAUUUAAACAUGAUUCUGUCAUAAUGAAGUUUGUGCAGUAGGCUAUAGG